rnacentral:rRNA from 1 species
GACAGAGGAUGCAAGCGUUAUCGGAAUGAUUGGGCGGUAAAGCGUCUGUAGGUGGCCUUUUUAAGUCCGCCGUCAAAAUCCCAGGGCGUCAACCCUGGACAGGCGGUGGAAACUACCAAGCUGGAGUACGGGUAGGGGCAGAGGGAAUUUCCGGUGGAGCGGUGAAAUGCGUAGAGAUCGGAAAGAACACCAACGGCGAAAGCACUCUGCUGGGCCGACACUGACACUGAGAGACGAAAGCUAGGGGAGCGAAUGGG